rnacentral:rRNA from 1 species
UGGGGAAUAUUGCACAAUGGGCGAAAGCCUGAUCCAGCCAUGUCGCGUGAGUGAUGAAGGCCUUAGGGUUGUAAAGCUCUUUCACUCGGGACGAUAAUGACGGUACCGAGAGAAGAAGCCCCGGCUAACUUCGUGUCAGCAGCCGCGGUAAUACGAAGGGGGCUAGCGUUGUUCGGAAUCACUGGGCGUAAAGCGCGCGUAGGCGGACCGUUAAGUCGGAGGUGAAAUCCUGGGGCUCAACCCCAGAACUGCCUUCGAUACUGGCGGUCUCGAGUCCGGGAGAGGUGAGUGGAACUGCCAGUGUAGAGGUGAAAUUCGUAGAUAUUGGCAAGAACACCAGUGGCGAAGGCGGCUCACUGGCCCGGUACUGACGCUGAGGUGCGAAAGCGUGGGGAGCAAACAG